GGAGGAUCCGAGCGUUAUCCGGAUUUAUUGGGUUUAAAGGGAGCGUAGGUGGAUUGUUAAGUCAGUUGUGAAAGUUUGCGGCUCAACCGUAAAAUUGCAGUUGAAACUGGCAGUCUUGAGUACAGUAGAGGUGGGCGGAAUUCGUGGUGUAGCGGUGAAAUGCUUAGAUAUCACGAAGAACUCCGAUUGCGAAGGCAGCUCACUAGACUGCAACUGACACUGAUGCUCGAAAGUGGGGGUAUCAAACAGGAUUAGAUACCCUGGUAGUCCACACAGUAAACGAUGAAUACUCGCUGUUUGCGAUAUACAGUAAGCGGCCAAGCGAAAGCAUUAAGUAUUCCACCUGGGGAGU
rnacentral:rRNA from 1 species